UAGCCGUAAACGAUACUCGCUAGGUGUCGGCCACGGUGCGACCGUUGUCGGUGCCGUAGGGAAGCCGUGAAGCGAGCCACCUGGGAAGUACGGCCGCAAGGCUGAAACUUAAAGGAAUUGGCGGGGGAGCACAACAACGGGCGGAGCUUGCGGUUUAAUUGGAUUCAACGCCGGAAAUCUUACCGGGACCGACAGCAACAUGAAGGCCAGGCUGAAGACUUUGCCGGAUUAGCUGAGAGGAGGUGCAUGGCGUAGUCGUGU
rnacentral:rRNA from 1 species